GCAUAACACCUUUUUGUCAUCCAAAUCAACUGCAGGAACACCCGAGUGGAUGGCACCAGAAGUUCUCCGUAAUGAACCUUCAAAUGAGAAGUGUGAUGUAUAUAGUUUUGGAGUCAUUCUUUGGGAGCUUGCAACACUAAGAUUGCCAUGGAGUGGGAUGAACCCGAUGCAAGUUGUUGGUGCAGUUGGUUUCCAGAAUGGGCGCCUUGAAAUCCCCAAGGAUGUUGAUCCAUUAGUUGCAAGGAUAAUUACAGAAUGUUGGCAGACGGAUCCAAAUUUGCGUCCAUCCUUUGCCCAGCUUGCAGUAGCUCUCAAGCCUUUGCAGCGGCUAGUCAUCCCUUCACAUCUGGACCAACCAGGCUCACCUCUGCAGCAGGAGAUCUCAGUAAAUUCUACACCUUGAAAUGUCUCAAUUACUCAAUUGUGAAUAAAGACAUUCUUGUUUAUUUUGGCUUCGGUGAGGCUAGUAUAUGAACUCUAGAAAAAGGAAUACAAAGCUUCAUUCCUUGAUACACAUGUCCUUGAUACCAAGCUGUACACAAAAAA
rnacentral:misc_RNA from 1 species